rnacentral:rRNA from 1 species
UUUAUGGAGAGUUUGAUCCUGGCUCAGGAUGAACGCUGGCGGCGUGCCUAAUACAUGCAAGUCGAGCGGACAGACAGGAGUGCU